GCAUCUCGCUUACACCGAGAAGACGUCUGUGCGAUCCGGAUCAUUUUGA
rnacentral:tRNA from 1 species